rnacentral:lncRNA from 1 species
GACCUCACUUCCUGUGGUGAUUACCUCACUUCCUGUGCUAGGCCCCACCUCCUGAAGGUCCCCCUACCUCCCAACAGCUCCAAUAUGGGGCCACAGCCUUCCACACCUGGGCCUUCGGGAGAUGCUCAGAACCCAGCCUACAGCACACCCUCCCCACGGUCAUUUCAGAGUUCGAGGUGCACUAUCUGGAGCUUGGGAAGGACAGGAAGAUGACAAUGAGCUGAGCUGUGGCCAACGCUCAGUCCAGGGAGCACCCUCUGCUCCUCUGUUUGAGCUGAUGAAGCCCCCCAACGUUGACUUGGCUGCUAAGACUGAUUUCCCCAGACCCAUGAAGAAAGGCCCCAGCCCUGAGUGGCUCCCUGCUUUGGAAAAUAACGUCAGUGACAACCCUGUGCAGGCACAGUCCAGGGAAGAGAGGCUCUGGGGUUGGCAUGCCCCUGCCCUCCCUGGGCCUUUCUGCAAGUGAGGAGUGGACCAUGGCGGUGGGUGGGCAGAAGGACGUCUGUAUACCCUUCCUGGAAGCCCCGCCUAGCCCUCAAGAGGUUCUUGAUCCAAGGAGGAGAGCGACUCAGCCUUCUCUCUCUUCCUUCUCCGAACUGUGGCUUCCAGCUGCCUCGACAGCAAGAGUUGGCCCUCUGCCCUUGCCAAGCCCCUGGGGCCCCUGUCAUCAGCAGAGGUCACCUUCCUCAUGGGGCGCUGGGCUCCAGGAGAAGACAGAGCAAUGGUGCGCAGCUGGAGAAGGACCUGAGUGACACCCCUUGGUCUGGAGGUGCCCACCUCCCGUGUGAGGAGCUUCCAAGGCCAGGAGCCCCUCCAACAUGCCAGCGCCUGGACCACAGGCCAGCAGCCCUCACCAGGAAACCCCUGUGAACUCUCAAAGAAGCAGCGGGAGGCAUGGAAUUAGAAGCAUUUAAUCCUCACCUCCUCCCCACCAGGAAAAUAAAAACCCAACAUCACAG